ensembl:Mt_tRNA
AGAAAUUUAGGUUAAACACAGACCAAGAGCCUUCAAAGCUCUCAGUAAGUUACAAUACUUAAUUUCUG